rnacentral:rRNA from 1 species
UCUUAAAGCUGUUCUCAGUUCGGACUGCAGUCUGCAACUCGACUGCACGAAGCUGGAAUCGCUAGUAAUCGCGGAUCAGCACGCCGCGGUGAAUACGUUCCCGGGCCUUGUACACACCGCCCGUCACACCAUGGAAGUCUGCAAUGCCCGAAGCCGGUGGCCUAACCACUUAUGUGGAAGGAGCCGUCUAAGGCAGGGCAGAUGACUGGGGUGAAGUCGUAACAAGGUAAC